AAAGGAAUAGACGGGGGCCCGCACAAGCGGUGGAGCAUGUGGUUUAAUUCGAUGCAACGCGAAGAACCUUACCUGGUCUUGACAUAUCUAGAAUCCUGCAGAGAUGCGGGAGUGCCUUCGGGAAUUAGAAUACAGGUGCUGCAUGGCUGUCGUCAGCUCGUGUCGUGAGAUGUUGGGUUAAGUCCCGCAACGAGCGCAACCCUUUUCCUUAGUUACCAGCGGUUUGGCCGGGGACUCUAAGGAUACUGCCAGUGACAAACUGGAGGAAGGCGGGGACGACGUCAAGUCAUCAUGGCCCUUACGACCAGGGCUACACACGUGCUACAAUGGUAGGUACAGAGGGCAGCUACACAGCGAUGUGAUGCGAAUCUCAAAAAGCCUAUCGUAGUCCAGAUUGGAGUCUGCAACUCGACUCCAUGAAGUAGGAAUCGCUAGUAAUCGCGGAUCAGAAUGCCGCGGUGAAUACGUUCCCGGGCCUUGUACACACCGCCCGU
rnacentral:rRNA from 1 species